rnacentral:pre_miRNA from 1 species
UUUUAUGGAUGGGCAAAGAGAGUGGUUUCCUGAGAUAGAAUCUACUCCUGGUAAAGAUGCUGUGAA